AUCAAGCGUUCAGAGAUGUCGUCCGUGCGUAUACGGUUUUGAAUUAAAAAAAAAAAAAAUUAAAAAUAUCUAUUCGACAAGUGCGUAAUAUAAUAUUAAAUGAAAAGAAAAUAAUCGUGAACUGGAUAACAUUAUCAGAUUUACAGAAUUAUGAAGAUGGAUUGAAGAAAAGACUGCAGUUUUAAGAACAUUAUAUUUAUAUUUAUAUUUAACAUUAAAGCUUAAACUAAAAAAUUAUUUUAAUUGCUUAUGCAGUACAAAAUUAUUUAUUUGAUAUUGUUUAAUAACUUUUAGAAGAUUAAUGUUGAAUAAUUUAUGUAUUGAUAACUAUUAUUAUUAUUAUUGUUGUUAAGUACCUAUUUUUUUUUUAUUAUUUAUUUGUUUUUAAAUUUUAAUUUAGUUUUAAAUAUUGAUUGUAUAAUUAAGUUUAAAUAUGUUAUAUAAAAAUUCACACAAAAUAAAAAUAAUACAUUUAACAUAA